ensembl:lncRNA
CUGGAAGCGGUCUGUGAGCAGGUGUUUGUCGUAGGGAGGAGAGGGGCUCUGAGGCAUGGUGGACUGGUACCAGUCUCUGUUCUCCUCCAACGUGUCCAGCAGGUCCUGAGCAUCAGGGUGGACCAGGUCACCCCACGUCUCCCACAGAGGGUGGACUAUGUAGUCUAUGAAACCCACCUGGAGUCAGAGAGAGGGAGGGAGAGGGAGAGGGAGGGAGAGGAAGGGAGAGUGGGAGGGAGAAAGGGAGAGUGAGAAAGGGAUGGGGAGGGAGAGAGAGGGAAAGGGAGAUGAGAAAGGGAGAUAGAGAAAGGGAGAGAGAGAAGGAGAGAGAGGGAGGGAGAGAGAGAGAGACACACCAACAGAUUUUUCACCUUGUCUGCUUGAAGAUUUGAACUAGUGACCUUUUGGUUAUUGGCCCAAUGCUCUAACUGUCUAACUGUCUAACUGUCAAACUGUGUAACUGCUAACUGCCUAACUAACUGCCUAACUGUCUAACUGUCUAACUGUCUAACUGUGUAACUGCCUAACUGUCUAACUGUCUAACUGUCUAACUGUCUAACUGUCUAACUGUCUAACUAACUGUCUAACUGUGUAACUGUCUAACUGUGUAACUGUGUAACUGUCUAACUGUGUAACUGUCUAACUGUCUAACUGCCUAACUGCCUAACUGUCUAACUGUCUAACUGCCUAACUGCCUAACUGUCUAACUGUCUAACUGUCUAACUGUCUAACUGUCUAACUGUCUAACUGCCUAACUGUCUAACUGUCUAACUGUCUAACUGCCUAACUGCCUAACUGUCUAACUGUCUAACUGCCUAACUGUCUAACUGUCUAACUGUCUAACUGUCUAACUGUCUAACUGUCUAACUGCCUAACUGUCUAACUGUGUAACUGUGUAACUGCCUAACUGUCUAACUGUCUAACUGUCUAACUGUCUAACUGUCUAACUGUCUAACUGUCUAACUGUCUAACUGUCUAACUGCCUAACUGUCUAACCCCCCUAGUG